AUGGGAUGGAAGGAAAGGCAACUUUUAACAGGAGGAAAGGAAGUGCUACUCAAAUCAAUUGUACAGGCUAUACUAUCUUAUUCAAUGUGGGUUUUCAAAUUUUCAAAACAGAUUUGUAAAGAAAUUAUAGACGCGAUGUUGCAUUAUUGGUGGGAUGACAGUGUCAGUUAGAGGAGAAUGCACUGGUUUGCGUGGUGGAAGUUGUGUGUGCCAAAGAAAUAAGGUGGAAUGGGAUUUCAAGAUAUUCAUUGUAACAUAGCCCUGCUUGCAAAACAGGCUUAGAGAUUAAUUGAUAAUCUAGAUUCCCUUUGUGCCCGUGUUCUCAAAGUGAAAUAUUAUCUAGAUUGUGACAUUUUUGAAUGCAGCUCCGAAAAAAGAGCCUCAUUCACAUGGCACAGUAUUAUGUCGAGGGUGCAGACACUUAAAAGAGGUCAUAUAUGGAGGAUUAGUGAUGGUAGUUGGAUCAAUGUUUGGGAUGAUGAAUAUGGAUCCCUAACUCACCUACCAGGAAAGUGA
rnacentral:rRNA from 1 species